rnacentral:rRNA from 1 species
UACGUAGGGCGCGAGCGUUGUCCGGAAUUAUUGGGCGUAAAGAGCUCGUAGGCGGCUUGUCACGUCGGGUGUGAAAGACCGGGGCUUAACUCCGGUUCUGCAUUCGAUACGGGCUAGCUAGAGUGUGGUAGGGGGAGAUCGGAAUUCCUGGUGUAGCGGUGAAAUGCGCAGAUAUCAGGAGGAACACCGGUGGCGAAGGCGGAUCUCUGGGCCAUUACUGACGCUGAGGAGCGAAAGUGUGGGGAGCGAACAGG